CCUCACGUGACUCCCGUGAUGACCGCGCGUUGACCACGCCUCGCUCCUCUCACGCUGCUCCUCCUCGCUGAUUCCAAUAGCGACGGCGAUUCCACCGAUUCCGCCGCUGUUGGAUCUCCACUAAUUCCAUCGAUUCCACCAAUUUCGCCCCAAAGCGGUGACUCCGCCACACAAAACCCAGCCGCGAUGACUCCGCCGUGCGCAUCCUCUCUCGCUUGCUCCUCACUCGACCAGCGCUGAGCCACCACCGCACAAUCGCAUCCCCUUCCGCCGGUGCCACGCCUGGGACUGCCCCCGACGACUAUGGACGCACGCCCCCAUUGCUCCUCCGCAAAUAGCUCCUGAGCUUCAUGCGAAGCCCGCGCCGGCCCCACAAAAGUCUCUCCUCCGAGAAUCCCUCCCCACGGAAUCCCUAAGCUCCUCUCUCUUCCUCAGGGAGCGUCGCCGAUCCGUCGGUCGCUGCUCACCCUCCCGUCGCCGGAUCCCCUCCCAUCAUCGGCUGCCACCCGGCGUCUAUCGCCGUCGCUGUUGGAUGCAGGUCGUUGUCCGGCGUUGACUGCCCUCGCUAUUGGAUCAAGGCUGUCGCCCAUCGUCGGGCGUCAUCAACUGCCACCGCCGCUCGCUGGCUCGCCGCCCGAUCGAGCAGGCCAGCACCCAUCUCCAGCGCCCACCAGGUGAACCAGGUACAGAGGAUGUACUGGAGGCGUGGGGGCUAAUCACUAAUCAGUCAGAUUUUUGUGGAUCGAGCUUAUUACCUGAGUUUUCUCCUCUUCGGUGAUGGAGCCGGUUCAGGUGAAUGUGCUCUUAUCCUGAUACGUCAUAGUGAAUCAUUGUGGAAUGACUGAAAUCUGUUUUAUUAUGGAAUGAGCAAAAAUUGUUUACUUGCGUCGAUGUCGAGAAGGCUAUAUAUGUCGGGAGCUGUUUGGAAAAUGUUUUAAAACAUUAUUGGGAAAGUAUUUUGCGGGGCAGUUUGGAAAGGGUUUUAUUGGAGCAACGCUGGGAAUUGUACUUUUAUUGGAUCAAUAAUGAUUGGAAAGGAUUUUAUCGGAGAAAUCUUGAUUAGGAAGGCAUUCCCAUGAGUUGCAAAUCCAAGGAAGUUAAUAACACCACUUGUCUACAGUAUUACAAGUUAAUUGAUUUAUUCCAUUACGAGCUAAAGCCCACUGUUUGAUAUUGCUUUAUCCCGCUGCUUUGCCAUUAGAACCAACAAAAGGAGGAAUGCCAUUAGCUGAGGCAGAUUCAAUACCAAAGUUGAUUGUUUGAUUCUAAACGUAAUUAUCAUGGUUUCUUCUGGUCCUUUAAUGGUGAUAUUAAGAUUUGGGCAAAAUUAGUACAAGAGCUACAUGUCCAAAAUACCUUGGUAGCUUCCCACUUCUACUAUCUCUCCAAUUUACUCUUAAAUUGUAUGAUACAACAUUAUCAAGUUUCAUAGUAGUUAUUUUGGACUCACCUCUUCAAAGUACUUGUCAUCUGGGUUGGGAGGUAAUUUCUAAAUCUCAGCUCUGCUAUUUGAUGAUCUGACAUUCAUAUUUUACUAUAUACUUCUUGUCACUAGAAUUCCUGCUGCAUACGUACUAGCUAGGUAUUUCCUCUUACAAUAAUGGCUGUUAGAAUUAGCAGCAUGAAACUGAUCAGCUCAACUCCAUGCUAUGUAAUACUUGAACAAUCUGAGAGUUUUUCUUUACUCCAGAACACCUGAGAGUUGACAUAUAUGAUAUAUUUAACAGAUUGUGUUGAUUGCGCAUAAAGAAGUAGCCCAACAUUUUUCUGCUAUGCACAUGAACAUAUUGGUACAUAUUUACAAUUCUUUAUUUUUACGAGGCACUAUGCUACUGAUAUUCUAUUGAUUGGUUGCAGCUGAAUUUAUUUAAAAAAAAACUACUGUUUUUUUUUCACCUACGUUGCCAUUCCUCCGUUCCUGCAUGUCCACUUUGUUGCAAAUCUGGAAUUGUGGAGAAACUCUUGAUGUUCAUCAUAUGCCAGUUCAUACUUUUCUAAAUUGCCAAAUUGAAAAGAGGGUUACAUAUUUAUUCAGUCCUAUCUGCAGGUUGGAAGUUGUAUGCAGCUAGCUAGAUCACUUUCUUAUCACAACUCACAAGAUUGCCGCUCUAAUAGCUACAGUUUGAAUCUAGGAUGGUCUGUCAUAAGGAGCUUUCAUUACUUAUAUGAACUUUGUUAAAUCAAAAUUUAUCCAUUUGUGGCUUUUAUUGUUUGAGAUUGAAAAAAAAAUCAGGUUGCUGCUCAAGAGCAAAAGGCAAAAACAUAGGGCAGUGAUAAAACUAUUUUUGGGCACAGUUAGUCUGUGACCAUGUCUUCAUAGGCAUAAAUGAAAGGGAAACUCAUUGUUAAGAAACUGAAAUGGAAACAACUUUUCCAUGGUGAUCCAAUUGACCAUGCUAGGAUCUUGGAUAUCAAUACUGUAAUUCAUAAAGUGCAGAAUACAUGAUUCAGUUGGAGAAAGGCAAUACAUGAGGAAGAUGUUUUGAACAAUAUAUUAUCUUAGGUUAAACUAUUUUUUUUCUCAUCUGGUGUUUUGUACCCUUACAAUCGUCUAGCUGUCUAGCUGUUGUAAUUCAUCAAGUGUUACCAAUGUUGAAUUGGUUGUACUCUAUAGCAACCUAGCAGGACUUUAUAUUUUGUUCUUUGCAAAAUUUGGCAUGGAGUGAGAAAGGGAUUAUGUUUACAAUUUUCAAAUAAAUUAGUGUUAAACAAAAAUCCGAGCAGUUUUAUACCUAACCAAGGCAUUCCCUUUAGUCUUCUUGCCCCCUUGGCACAUAGGGUGAUAGGGAACAGUUAAAAUUCUAAGAAAUUUUAUACUGAACAUGAGCAAAUUUUAUUUCUCUUAAGUUUUUCUAACAGCUAUAUUGCUCAUUCAAGGAGGCUGAUGAAAAAUCCAAGAUUGCAGUCACACUUUGAUGCAUGAAUAUUACUUCCUCCAUUUUAAAAUAUAUAAUAUUAUUGACUUGUAGGACAUGACGCUUGACUGAUAAUUUUGUUAAAAAGUUAUGUAUAUAUGUGACUUGUUUCAUUAUCAUUAAAGAUACCUCAAGCGCAAUUCAUAUUUUCUCAAUUCAUAUAAAAGUAUUAUGAUGCAAGAUUGGGAGGAUUUCCUUGGUACUAAAUAGCAAAAAAAAAUAGUUAUGUUAUGUUAUUCAAACUUAUAAGUGAAAGUAUAUUGAUUUUUUAAAUGUAUGUCGUAGCUUUUAAUUAUAUACUACUAUAAAUUUGAUUUUAAAAAUAAUAUAAUUUUAAUACAGGUUACGACGUGUACUACACGUGCACAGUAACGUGCACAGGUUACUGGUAGACGAAACGAUGGAAUCGGUUGGGCAUUUUGGCCUACCGCCUCCAGGUGUCCGCAGUUACAGGGGUUGGGCGGGUCCCACGCGCUGGCUUGCCGCGUACGCCUCCUCCACGCCCUCUCUCUCGUCUUCUCUCGCCUCAGUUUUCAAAAAUCAAAUGCCCAACCAUUUUUCGCCUCUCUCUUCCCCACCUCGCCUCCUUUCUCUCUCUCUCUCACCCUCCUCUUCUCAGUCUCACCCCCAUUCGCAAAACCCUACUCCCUCGCGCUUCCCCGACCCAUCCGCCAUGGCGGCGCGGCGAUCUCGCCUCGCCGCUCCGACGUCCUCCUCCGCCGCGGCCGCUUCGAUGCAGCACGAGCUCCUCGAGGCGGCGGCCAGCGGCGACCUCCGCCACCUCAAGAGGCUGGUGCGGGCGCUGGAUAAGGUCAGGGGCCGCCUCCAGGAGGUGGUGGAGGCGGCGAGGACGGACGGCGGCAUCUGGGCGCUGCAGCUCGCCGCGGGCAACGAGCAGCUGGAGGUGUGCCGCUACCUCGUCGAAGGGCUGCGCGUGGAUGUGAACGCCGCCGAUGAUGAGGGUAGAACACCUCUAGUUUUUGCGGUGAUCGGUGAAAAUGCUGCUAUUGUCAAGUACCUUCUUGAUCAUGGUGCUGAUCCAGACAAAGCUGAUGAUGACGGGCUAACCCCUCUACAUUCCGCUGCUGGAAUAGGAGAUUGUGAAAUGAUAGAAACGUUGCUGGCAAAGGGGGCUGAUAUUGAUCCGGUAGCUGAUGAAUGUGGGACGCCACUACAUCUUGCUACUAAGGAAUGACAAGUCGGUGCUAUGAAGGUUUUAUUGGAUCAUAAUGCAGAUUGCAACAAGACGUACAUGAUGUUUGGAUUGUAUCCUAUGACAACCCCUCUUUCAGGCUGUAAAUGUUUCAUCAGUGGAAUGUGUGAAGCUCCUGGUUGAGGCUGGUGCUGAUGUCAACUCAGAUUGUAUCUCAACUGCUGCACUUGAUUCUGCAAUGGGCAAUGAUGGUUCAACUGAGUGCUUAAAUUUCUUAAUGGAGGCUGGUGCCAACUAUGGUGGCCCUAAUGAUGAUCAACAUGUGAAUAAAAAGAAAAUAGAAGAGUUGAAGACAUCUGGGAAUAAAGCAGUCGAUAGAGAAGAUUACAUUUCUGCUUCAGCGUUCUACACUAAGGCAAUGGAUCUUGACCCUAAUGAUGCAACCUUGUUCUCAAACAGGAGCCUUUGCUGGCUCUGCAUGGGUGAUGGAAAGAAGGCUUUUCUGGAUGCUCUUGAAUGCAGAGAAAUGCGGCCCGAUUGGCCAAAGGCCUGCUACCGGCUUGGUGCUGCUCUGAUGACCCUGAAGGACUUCGAGAGCGCGUGCGAUGCACUUUUUGAUGGAUUCAAGUUGGACCCGGACAAUGCAGAGAUUGAGCGUGCAUUACGGGAAGCUAUGGAAUCUCUGAAGAUAUCAUCUAAAGGCACCAAGGCAACAUGAACUCUGCCCUUAUGUUGAGACACAUCUCGUGAAUCAGAUGUGUGGAUCGCGUCCUCUUUUUCUAGUCAAGUAGUGACCGCAGAAAUGCUUACUGCGAAGCAUUUCCCAUGUUUCCGAGGGCGAAAAUAUAGCGAAGUUGCUUUUGUGCAUUACCCAAUGUGUCGCCACUGCUUCUCGUUUGUUAUCUUUUGUGCAUCCGAGGUGGUAAUGUUUAGUACUAGCAAAUUUUUGUUUCUGGCUUGAUUUUUGCUGUGAA